GAACGCACCUUGCGCCCUUUGGCUAUUCCGAAGGGCAUGCCCGUUCGAGCGUCAUUAUAACCCCUCAAGCCUAGCUUGGUGUUGGGGCCUGCUGUUGCCGGCAGCCCUUAAAAUCAGUGGCGGUGCCAUCUGGCCCUAAGCGUAGUAAUACUUCUCGCUACAGGGUCCCGGUGGAUGCCUGCCAUCAACCCCUAAAUUUCUAUGGUUGACCUCGGAUCGGGUAGGGAUACCCGCUAAACUUAAG
rnacentral:misc_RNA from 1 species